UGGUGUACCAGUUAUUGUACCAACAGUAAACGCUGGGUAGCCAAGUGCGGAGAGGAUAACCGCUGAAAGCAUCUAAGUGGGAAGCCCACCUCAAGAUGAGUACUCUCACUACGAUAAGUAGGUAAGGUCACGGGCAGAACACCCGUUAAUAGGCUCUAUGUGGAAGUACAGUAAUGUAUGUAGCAAAGGGGUACUAAUAGACCGAGGGCUUGACCUC
rnacentral:rRNA from 1 species